rnacentral:tRNA from 1 species
GUACGAAGGGUUUUGAACUCUUUGGCGCAGGCUCGUUUCCUGUCUUUCUAAAA